rnacentral:tRNA from 8 species
GGAGGGUUGGCAGAGCUGGUUGAUUGCACCGGUCUUGAAAACCGGCAUGCCUUUGCGGGCAUCUGGGGUUCGAAUCCCUAACCCUCCGCCA